AGCAGUCGCCACGGUAAUACGGAGGGUGCAAGCGUUAAUCGGAAUUACUGGGCGUAAAGCGCACGCAGGCGGUUUGUUAAGUCAGAUGUGAAAUCCCCGAGCUUAACUUGGGAACUGCAUUUGAAACUGGCAAGCUAGAGUCUUGUAGAGGGGGGUAGAAUUCCAGGUGUAGCGGUGAAAUGCGUAGAGAUCUGGAGGAAUACCGGUGGCGAAGGCGGCCCCCUGGACAAAGACUGACGCUCAGGUGCGAAAGCGUGGGGAGCAAACAGGAUUAGAUACCCCUGUAGUCCCUGUCUCUUAUAC
rnacentral:rRNA from 1 species